UACGUAGGGGGCAAGCGUUGUCCGGAAUUAUUGGGCGUAAAGCGCGUGUAGGCGGCUCGGUAAGUCUGCUGUGAAAGUCCAGGGCUCAACCCUGGAAUGCCGGUGGAUACUGUCGAGCUAGAGUCCGGAAGAGGCGAGUGGAAUUCCAGGUGUAGCGGUGAAAUGCGUAGAUAUCUGGAGGAAUACCGGUGGCGAAGGCGGCAUCCUGGACCGGCAUUGACGCUGAGGAGCGAAAGCCAGGGGAGCAAACGGG
rnacentral:rRNA from 1 species